AUUGAACGCUGGCGGCAGGCCUAACACAUGCAAGUCGAGCGAGCGGCGGACGGGUGAGUAAUGUAUGGGGACUGCCCGAUAGAGGGGGAUAACUACUGGAAACGGUGGAUAAUACCGCAUACUAUCGGAUAACCCAUAUGGGAGUAGCUAGUAGGUUGGGUAAAUGCCCACCUCGGCGACGAUCUCUAGCUGGUCUGAGAGGAUGAUCAGCCACACUGGGACUGAGACACGGCCCAGACUCCUCCGGAGGCAGCAGUGGGGAAUUGUGCACAAUGGGCGCAAGCCUGAUACAGCCAUGCCGCGUGUAUGAAGAAGGCCUUAGGGUUGUAAAGUACUUUCAGCGGGGAGGCGUUACCCGCAGAAGAAGCACCGGCUAACUCCGUGCCAGCAGCCGCGGUAAUUC
rnacentral:rRNA from 1 species